rnacentral:rRNA from 1 species
AAUGAACGCUUGCGGCGAGCUUAACACAUGCAAGUCUAACUGGUAGCAAUAUCGGUGGCAGACGGGUGAGUAAUGUACAGGAAUCUGCCUGGGAGUAAGGAAUAUGUACUGGAAACGGUAAGUAAUACCUUAUAUUGCCUGAGGGUAAAAGAUUUAUCGCUCCUAGAUGAGCCUGUAUGGGAUUAGUUUGUUGGUGGGGUAAAGGCCUACCAAGACUACGAUCUCUAGCCGAUCUGAGAGGAUGGUCGGCCACAUUGGGACUGAGACACGGCCCAGACUACUACGGGAGGCAGCAGUGAGGAAUAUUGGACAAUGGGCGAAAGCCUGAUCCAGCUACGCCGCGUGGAGGAUGAAGGUCUUCGGAUUGUAAACUCCUUUUAACGGGGACGAUAAUGACGGUACCCGUAGAAUAAGCCCCGGCUAACUUCGUGCCAGCCGCCGCAGUAAGAC